AUGAACUUCUUUUUGUUUUCAGUAAUUCAUGGACGAAUGGAUCAAGGAAACCCUAUGAAUGUACCAGCUACACGAAAAGACCUUAUGAUAGUUAAUAUGGGUCCCCACCACCCAUCAAUGCAUGGUGUUCUUCGCCUCAUCGUUACUCUAGACGGGGAAGAUGUUAUUGACUGUGAACCAAUAUUAGGUUAUUUACACAGAGGAAUGGAAAAAAUUGCGGAAAAUCGAACAAUUAUACAAUAUUUGCCCUAUGUAACACGUUGGGAUUAUUUGGCUACUAUGUUCACAGAAGCAAUAACAGUAAAUGGUCCAGAACUGUUAGGAAAUAUUCAAGUGCCUAAAAGAGCUGGCUAUAUCAGAAUAAUUAUGUUGGAAUUGAGUCGUAUAGCUUCUCAUUUGUUAUGGCUUGGUCCCUUUAUGGCAGAUAUUAUGCACAGACUCCUUUCUACUAUAUUUUUAGAGAAAGACAGUUAGUAUAUAAUUUAUAAGAAGCUUCAACAUGUAUGAUAAUGAUGCAUAUUUUUUUUCUUAUCGUUUGAGUAUCUUAUGAUCUACCUCAUGGUUUGUUAGAUAAUUGUUUGGAUAUUUGCGAUUAUUUUUUUACAGGUUUUACUGAAUAUCAUAUACUUAUUACGCGAAAUCCUAUUUUUUUAGAACGAGUUGAGGGAGUAGGUAUUGUUGGUACAGAGGAAGCAAAAAAUUGGGGUUUAUCGGGACCAAUGCUACGAGCUUCCGGAGUACAAUGGGAUCUUCGUAAAGUUGAUCAUUAUGAGUGUUACGACGAAUUUGAUUGGGAAAUCCAGUGGCAAAAAGAAGGAGAUUCCUUAGCUCGUUAUUUAGUCCGAAUUGGUGAAAUGAUGGAAUCUAUAAAAAUUAUUCAACAGGCUCUGGAAGGAAUUCCGGGGGUCCCUAUGAGAAUUUAGAAACUGACGUUUUGAUAGAGAAAGGGAUUCGGAAUGGAACGAUUUCGAAUAUCGAUUCAUUAGUAAAAAAACUUCUCCUACUUUUGAAUUACCGAAACAAGAACUUUAUGUGAGAGUCGAAGCCCCAAAAGGAGAAUUGGGAAUUUUUCUGAUAGGAGAUCAGAGCGGUUUUCCUUGGAGAUGGAAAAUUCGUCCGCCGGGUUUUAUCAAUUUGCAAAUUCUUCCUGAAUUAGUUAAAAGAAUGAAAUUGGCAGAUAUUAUGACAAUACUAGGUAGUAUAGAUAUCAUUAUGGGAGAAGUUGAUCGUUGAAAUGAUAAUUGAUACAACAGAAAUACAAGCUAUCAAUUCUUUUUAUAGAUUAGAAUCCUUAAACGAGGUCUAUGGAAUUAUAUGGGUGUUUGUCCCGAUUUUUAUUCUUGUAUUGGGAAUCACGAUAGGCAUACUAGUAAUUGUAUGGUUAGAAAGAGAAAUAUCUGCAGGGAUACAACAACGUAUUUGACCUGAAUAUGCCGGUCCUUUAGGAGUUCUUCAAGCUCUAGCGGAUGGGACAAAACUACUUUUCAAAGAGAAUCUUUUUCCAUCUAGGGGGGAUAUUCGUUUAUUCAGUAUCGGACCAUCCAUAGCAGUCAUAUCAACUCUAUUAAGCUAUUCGGUAAUUCCUUUUGGCUAUCACCUUGUUUUAACUGAUCUAAAUAUUGGUGUUUUUUUAUGGAUUGCCAUUUCAAGUAUUGCUCCCAUCGGACUUCUUAUGUCAGGAUAUGGAUCAAAUAAUAAAUAUUCCUUUUUGGGUGGUUUACGAGCUGCUGCUCAAUCGAUUAGUUAUGAAAUACCAUUAACUCUUUGUGUGUUAUCCAUAUCUCUACGUGUGAUUUGUUGAAAUAUAAACUUUUCCCUAUUCCUUUCUUUUUAUCUUUUUAGGAAGAAGGCGAAAUUAAUUGAAUAGAUAUCUUCAUUUUUUAUUCAUCGUUUGGGUUGAUGAACUAAAUUGGAUAGUUAUAUGAGUGAAAGAAAACAACUUCUACAUUUGCAGUAAAAAAAUUGAGACUCAUUUCCUAUGUACAAGAGUAAAACAGAAAUAAACAUAAGAAAAGAAGAAUGUUUGCCCCAAGAUUGGUUGAUUAGUCAUCCUGGCUUGAAGCGGGCCCAAAAUAUCAACCUUAUUGAGUUUUCACUAUCAUUUAUAUGUAUUACCAUAAUGCUAACAGGUGAUUAAGCAAAAAUGAGUGGAUGGUUAGGAACACCAAGAUACACAAAGGAUUAGUAAGAGAGAUUAAAAAAAUUAUCUAAAAAGAUAUUUCGGUAUAAUAUAAAAAAGUAUAUUAAUUGGGGCUUUAACUUGGUAGAAAUGAUUAGGCAGUACUCCCCAUGAUUCCGAUCCAGAGUAUGCUCCUACCCACCGAUUAAAUAAAUAACUAUCAGGAACUAAAUAAUCCUUUCCUUUUUUUUAAUCCCCUUUUCUAUUUUUUUUUUUUCAGAAAGAAGAAUAGGAACGAAAAAAAAAAAAAGAAUCUAAUUACAAUAGAAAAAAAAAAUCAAUCCUUUUUGUUCUUUUUUUAUCGAUAUUCAUAGAGAUGGAAUUCGUGUCAUAAUUCGGAAUAUCUAACUUUUUCGUAAUCGAAAACGAUAGAAAAUAUCUAUUGGUAUUUUUACAAAGAAUAUUUUACUUUUUACAAAGAGUAUUUUAUUGAAGGAUUUAAGUUAUUACUCAAGAAAGAAAAAUUUAAAUUAUUAAAGGAUGAGAUCAAUUCAGAAGUAUUUUUUUAGUAUUAUAACAGAUAGAAUUUCAUUGCUCGAAUUUUGGAACGUCGAUAGAUUUUAUUUUGAUCCUAUCUAUUCUACAAAUAUAUCAAAAUAAAUAAUCUGAUCUGAUCCUUAAAUUUAUUUAUGGCCUUCGAGGAGCCGUAUGAGGUGAGAAUUUCAUGUACGGUUCUGUAAUAGCGAUGGGAACAGUGAUGUUAUCACCGACUAUGAUUAUCUAAUAGUUCAAGUACAGUUGAUAUAGUUGAGGCACAAUCAAAAUCUGGUUUUUGGGGGUGGAAUUUGUGGCGUCAACCUAUAGGAUUUAUCAUUUUUUUUAUUUCUUCUCUAGCAGAAUGUGAGAGAUUGCCUUUUGAUUUACCAGAAGCAGAAGAAGAAUUAGUAGCAGGUUAUCAAACCGAAUAUUCGGGCAUCAAAUUUGGUUUAUUUUAUAUUGCUUCCUAUCUAAACUUAUUAGUUUCUUCAUUAUUUGUAACAGUUCUUUACUUGGGCGGUUGGAAUAUCUCUAUUCCGUAUAUAUUCGUUCCUGAGCUUUUUGAAAUAAAAAAAAUAGGCGGAGUCUUUGGAACAACAAUUGGUAUCUUUAUUACAUUGGUUAAAACUUAUUUGUUCUUGUUCAUUCCUAUCACAACAAGAUGGACUUUACCUAGACUAAGAAUGGACCAACUUUUAAAUCUUGGAUGGAAAUUUCUUUUACCUAUUUCUCUCGGUAAUCUAUUAUUAACAACCUCUUUCCAACUUCUUUCACUAUAAAAGAAUAUUUUUCUAUAUUCCUAACUUGUCUUCAAACAAGAGAAAAAAACAAACAUAAAAUUAUUCAUAAAUAUUUACGAUAUGUUUCCCAUGGUAACUGGGUUCAUGAAUUAUGGGCAACAAACCAUACGAGCUGCAAGGUACAUUGGUCAAGGUUUUAUGAUUACCUUAUCUCAUGCAAAUCGUUUACCUGUAACUAUUCAAUAUCCUUAUGAAAAAUUAAUCACAUCGGAGCGUUUCCGCGGUCGAAUUCAUUUUGAAUUUGAUAAAUGCAUUGCUUGUGAAGUAUGUGUUCGUGUAUGUCCUAUAGAUCUACCUGUUGUUGAUUGGAAAUUGUAAACUGACAUUCGAAAGAAACGGUUGCUUAAUUACAGUAUUGAUUUCGGAAUCUGUAUAUUUUGUGGCAACUGUGUUGAGUAUUGUCCGACAAAUUGUUUAUCGAUGACUGAAGAAUAUGAGCUUUCUACUUAUGAUCGUCACGAAUUGAAUUAUAAUCAAAUUGCUUUAGGUCGUUUACCAAUGUCAGUAGUUGACGAUUAUACAAUUCGAACAAUUUUGAAUUCAACUCAAAAAAAAAUAGGUAAACCACUUUGAUUGAUUAAAAAGUACAAUUAUUAAACUCAAAUUCUGUUUUGAUCUAAAAGGAUGAAAGGAUGAAAUGGGUUUUCUUUUAUUUUUCUUGGUCAAUAACUACAAAAAUUACAAAUUCCAACUAUUGAUUUGAUUGAUUGAUGAUAAUUGCGUCGCGACUUAAUUUGGAUUGAAAAUCUAUUAAUAUAUCUUUAAUUCUAUCCAUAAUUAUUUCGAAAUUUAAAAUUUAGAAUGCCUUUUUGAGAAAGGAUGAGAUUAGUAGAAUAGCUGUACAUAUAGUAAUUAAUUUACACUCCUUAGGGUUUAAUUCAAUUAAGAACUUAUUAUAAAAAAGUUUUCCUGGUCGGGUCAAUAAGGUCAUGAAAAAACAAUUCAAUUUUUUUUUUUAUUUCUUAUUUUACGUGCAAUGGAUUUGCCUUGACUAAUUCAUGAUUUUCUUUUAGUCUUUCUAGGAUUAGGUCUUAUAUUAGGAGGUCUAGGAGUGGUAUUACUUACCAACCCAAUUUAUUCUGCCUUUUCGUUGGGAUUGGUUCUUGUUUGUAUAUCUUUAUUCUAUAUUUUAUCAAACUCUCAUUUUGUAGCUGCCGCACAGCUCCUUAUUUAUGUGGGAGCUAUAAAUGUUUUAAUUAUAUUUGCCGUGAUGUUCAUGAAUGGUUCAGAAUAUUACAAAGAUUUUAAUCUUUGUACUGUUGGAAGCGGGGUUACUUCUUUAGUUUGUACAAGUAUUUUUGUUUCACUAAUUACUAUUCUUCCAGAUACGUCAUGGUAUGGAAUUAUUUGGACUACAAGAACAAAUCAGAUUAUAGAACAAGAUUUGAUAAGUAAUGGUCAACAAAUUGGAAUUCAUUUAUCAACAGAUUUUUUUCUUCCAUUUGAAUUCAUUUCAAUAAUUCUUUUAGUUGCUUUGAUAGGUGCGAUUGCUGUGGCUCGUCAGUAAAAAAUCUUUAGAAUUAGUAAUCGCAAUCCAAAUUAAACUUUGGUCUAUGUUAUCACAUCUAUUUUCCUUCAAUUCUAUUUAAAGAUUUUUUAUGUAUAAAUUCUUUUAUUUGAUCUAUUAUCCAAAUAUUUCUUUGAUUUGUAUUUGGGAUAUUCUUAUUUUAGCCAAUCCAAUCUGUUGAUGUUGAAUUGUUGUUUAUAUUGAAAUAAAUCGAAAUUGAUAAGGAGUUGGUCAAUGAUGCUCGAACAUGUACUUGUUUUGAGUGCCUAUUUAUUUUCUAUUGGUAUCUAUGGAUUGAUCACGAGUCGAAAUAUGGUUAGAGCCCUUAUGUGCCUUGAACUUAUACUGAAUGCAGUUAAUCUAAAUUUCGUAACAUUUUCUGAUUUUUUUGAUAGCCGCCAAUUAAAAGGAAAUAUUUUUUCCAUUUUUGUUAUAGCUAUC